GAGCUCGUUAGCCGUGGUAGGCAAUCUGCCUAGGAGAGCAAACUCUAAACAAACCCGGGCAGGUGAGGCUCGUUAGCCGUGGGAGGCAAUUCACCUAGGAGAGCAAACUCUAUACAAACCCGGGCAGGUGGAGGUCGUUAGCCGUGGGAGGCAAUUCACCUAGGAGAGCCAACUCUAAACAAACCCGGGCAGGUGGAGGUCGUUAGCCGUGGGAGGCAAUUCACCUAGGAGAGCAAACUCCGAACAAUAAACCCGGGCAGGUGGAGGUCGUUAGCCGUGGGAGGUAAUUCACCUAGGAGAGCAAACUCUAAACAAACCCGGGCAGGUGAGGCUCGUUAGCCGUGGUAGGCAGUUCACCUAGGAGAGCAAACUCUAAACAAACCCGGGCAGGUGGGGCUCGUUAGCCGUGGUAGGCAGUUCACCUAGGAGAGCAAACUCCGAACAACAAACCCGGGCAGGUGGAGGUCGUCAGCCGUGGUAGGCAGUUCACCUAGGAGAGCAAACUCCGAACAAUAAACCCGGCCAGGUGGAGGUCGUCAGCCGUGGUAGGCAGUUCACCUAGGAGAGCAAACUCCGAACAAUAAACCCGGCCAGGUGGAGGUCGUCAGCCGUGGUAGGCAGUUCACCUAGGAGAGCAAACUCCGAACAAUAAACCCGGGCAGGUGGAGGUCGUCAGCCGUGGUAGGCAAUCUGCCUAGGAGAGCAAACUCCGAACAAUAAACCCGGGCAGGUGGAGGUCGUCAGCCGUGGUAGGCAAUCUGCCUAGGAGAGCAAACUCCGAACAAUAAACCCGGGCAGGUGGAGGUCGUCAGCCGUGGUAGGCAAUCUGCCUAGGAGAGCAAACUCUAAACAAA